rnacentral:lncRNA from 1 species
UCACAGAGUACGUUUUCUUAGAUUUCAAGGUACAAUCUGUAGCUGGGGGAACUUUGACAAACACUAAAUUAAUUUAAUUGAAAUGAUGGAGAUCUGGACUUCCAAAAAAUGGGACCCUGCGCUUCUCCAGAAUGAAGACCCUGCCUUUUAGGGAAAUGAGCCCAGUGCCUCUACCUCUGCUGCUUGUAUAAUCAGAGGAGACCUGGAAGUAAAGACCCUCCACGGACAGGAGCAGUCAAGAAGGAAAAGCUCUGGGCUCAGAAUGCUCAGUGUGAAACCUGGCCCUGUUGCUCACUGGUCGUGU